GGGAGUGUUCCUCUACACUGAAACUACUGUUGGCAUGUGAUGGAGACAAAACAGCCACAGGAUGAAGUCUUCGAUUCAGCAGGCUAUUCCAGGAUCAUUGUGGCUGCCGUAUGAAUAUGAUGACAGUGGAAAUCACUGGUUGCGUGAAGAGGAACAAGAGGAACAUGUGCCCUUGGAAGGGAAUACAAGGCCAGUUGGUUUAGAGUUAAGGAGGAGGCAAGAAGCUGUGACACUGCAACAGGAAACUCCUUUCAUUUAAGGUGGAUAGUUUUUCUUUACUAAAGAAGAGAGAAGAUAUCACCAAAAGAAAGAGGACAAAGAGGACAGUAAUAAGAUUUCAAAAAGCCAUAAAAAUAAAACCACAAAAGAAAUUCUGGGGCUAGGCACAGAGGAAACAGUUAUACAUAUAGAAAAUAAAGGAAGAAAUAUCAAAUUCUAGGCUCCAUCAACAGAAGAAUAGUGUCCAGACUGAGUGAAGCAUUAGUGUCAUUCUAUUCUGCUUUGGUCAAGCCUCACCUAAAAUACUGUAUUCAGUCCAAGAUGGAAAUUGACAAGGUGGGGCAUGUCUGGAGAAGAUCUAUCAAAAUGAUCAAUGGUGCAGAAACUGUAAAGAACAACUUAGGUUAUCCGAGUAUGUUUAACUUGGGACAGAGAUAACAAAGAGGUGGCAUGUUUAUCCUUAUUAUGUUCCCCCAAGUUAUUUCUAACUAUAAGGUUUUCUUGGCAGGACUUGUUCCGAUAUGAUUUGCCUUUUACCUUCUUUUGACUCGGAAAGAAUGUGACUAAGUGGACUUGCAUAAGCAAGCAGGGAUUCAAACCUUGGUCUCUCUGUAUCUUGGUUCAACAUUCAUAACCACUAGAUUGCUGUAAGUUUUCGGGCUGUAUGGCCAUGUUCCAGAAGCAUUCUCUCUUGACAUUUUGCC